rnacentral:rRNA from 1 species
AUCUUCGGAGAGUUUGAUCCUGGCUCAGGAUUAACGCUGGCGGCGUGCAUGAGACAUGCAAGUCGAACGGACGAUCAGGGCUUGCUCUGAUCGUUAGUGGCGGACGGCUGAGUAACGCGUAGGUGA